rnacentral:rRNA from 1 species
AGGGUUUGAUUAUGGCUCAGGAUGAACGCUGGCGGCGUGCCUAAUACAUGCAAGUCGAGCGAACCACUUCGGUGGUGAGCGGCGAACGGGUGAGUAACACGUAGGUGAUCUGCCCAUCAGACGGGGACAACGAUUGGAAACGAUCGCUAAUACCGGAUAGGACGAAAGUUUAAAGGUGCUUCUGGCACCGCUGAUGGAUGAGCCUGCGGCGCAUUAGCUAGUUGGUAGGGUAAAGGCCUACCAAGGCGACGAUGCGUAGCCGACCUGAGAGGGUGAACGGCCACACUGGGACUGAGACACGGCCCAG